GACGAACCGUCCAAACGUUUAUUCGGAAUCACUGGGCUUACAGAGUUCGUAGGCGGUCUGGAAAGUUGGGUGUGAAAUCCCUCGGCUCAACCGAGGAACUGCGCUUGAAACUACCAGACUCGAGGGAGAUAGAGGAAAGCGGAACUGAUGGUGGAGCGGUGAAAUGCGUUGAUAUCAUCAGGAACACCGGUGGCGAAGGCGGCUUUCUGGGUCUUACCUGACGCUGAGGAACGAAAGCUAGGGGAGCAACGGGA
rnacentral:rRNA from 1 species